rnacentral:rRNA from 1 species
UACGAAGGGGGCUAGCGUUGCUCGGAAUUACUGGGCGUAAAGCGCGACGUAGCGGUCGUUUUAAGUCGGGGGUGAAAUCCUGGAGCUCAACUCCAGAACUGCCUUCGAUACUGGAAGACUUGAGUCCGGGAGAGGUGAGUGGAACUGCGAGUGUAGAGGUGAAAUUCGUAGAUAUUCGCAAGAACACCAGUGGCGAAGGCGGCUCACUGGCCCGGUACUGACGCUGAGGUGCGAAAGCGUGGGGAGCAAACAGG